ACCUUAGCUUCAUGCCUGAUUAGAAAUGUCUUGUAAUUUGAUGUUAUGAUGAUGAGGAUGCUCUGGAAGGGUGGGGUUUGCUCAACAUCUUGUUGCUAAUUAUUGCAUUGUGCCAACAAUUAAUAUGAAUAGGACACAAAAGCAUAAAUAAUUAGACGUUGGACAAACCUCAUUCCGUCAGAACAGUAUUCAUCUUUAUUUUUUCAGUUCCGAUUAACACUUUCCAAAAGGGAUUCCGAUCAAUAAAGCUACCAAUAUACCAAGGCAAGUUGCAAUUUGGAUUAAGGCUCCAUAGGUACUCCGUACAAAAGCAGGAGAAACCUACCAUCCACCAAAUAUUGUGAUCUCACGAAUAAUCAAGUAAAUUUUCAGCCUACUCAAUUAGGCAAAUGCAACCAUAUUCACACCUCUGUCAAGCAAAAAAUAACUAACACAUCAAGCAAAAAGUAAAUGGGUACAUUAAAACAUUAAACCUAUCAGAUUUAAAGUUAUUAGAUUAUAACUUAA